rnacentral:misc_RNA from 1 species
CAACCAUCAAGCGCCUGCGCUUGUGUUGGAGCCCUGCGGCUGCCGCAGGCUCCCAAACCCAGUGGCGGGCUCGUCGUCGUACCGAGUGCAGUAAACUUACCACGCUCAGGGCGCGCGACGGGUAACCGGCCGUAAAACCCCCAACUUAUCAA